GAUGAACGCUGGCGGCAUGCCUAAUACAUGCAAGUCGAGCGAACGGACGAGAAGCUUGCUUCUCUGAUGUUGUCAGCCGUCGGGUGAGUACCACGUGUAUAACCUACCUAUACGACUGGGGUAACUUCGGGAAACCGGAGCUAAUACCGGAUGAUAUUUUGAACCGCAUGGUUCCACAGUGAAAGACGGUCUUGCUGUCGCUUAUAGAUGGAUCCGCGCUGCAUUAGCUAGUUGGUAAGGUAACGGCUUACCAAGGCAACGAUGCAUAGCCGACCUGAGCGGGUGAACGCCCACACGGGAACAGAGGCAGGGUCCAGACUCCUACGCGAGGCAGCAGCAGGGAAUCUUCCGCAAGGGGGGAGAGCGUGACGGAGCACCAUCGGGGAAGGCAUGAAGGUCCUAGGAUCGGAAAACUAUGUUAUUAGGAAAGAACAUAAGUGUAAUUAACUGGGCUCAUAUUGACGGUACCUAAUGAGAAAGCCACGGCUAACUACGUG
rnacentral:rRNA from 1 species